GGAGCCCCCUCCUCGGCAUGUACCAGCGAUUCUAAGGACCCCUCUCUCCGCCCGGCUCAGCCUGUCCGAAAAGGGGCUUCACAGUUCAUGGGAAAUGUAUACCACCCACCUACAUACCAUGACAUGCUUCCUGCUUUUAUGUGUUCGCCGAAGUCAUCAGAAAACCAGGGUACAGUGGAACGAGGCUCUUUUCCCCUUCCUCAGCUCCGCCUUGAACCUCGAGUUCCUUUUAGACAGUUCCAGAUGAAUGACCAAGACGGAAAAGAAAACAGGCUGGGAUUGUCUCGCCCACUCCGCCCACUAAGGCAGCUGGUGGAGCGGGCACCACGGCCCACCAUUAUCAAUGCGGAAAACCUGAAGGGCCUUGACGAUCUGGACGCCGAUGCCGAUGAUGGCUGGGCAGGUGGGCAGAGAAGCAUGGGUGGUUUAGACGGGCAGGACCAAAGUCCAUCUGUGCUUACCAGGGAUGGAAACCCCCUGGCACCACCGUGUGUUUUCCCUUGGCAAGAUAGGGAUGAGGAGCCGGACAGGGAAGCAGCCCUGAUGCCCUCCUUCCUCAUUUACUCCCUGACUAGCGGUUCCUUCCUGGCCAAGCCAUUAGCUUCUUUUGGUCUUUAGUCUUGAUCUUAGAGUUUUGUUGUUAACUUUUUAAAAAUUAUUGAUGAUGCAAAAUUUAAACAAAAAAGAAAAUAGCUCCCAACCACUGAUCACUCAGGUUCAAUAAGUACCAAUGUUCUGCCAUUCAGUUUUUGUUUGUUUUAAUUUAAUUUUUUUCCAAGAGACAGGGUCUCAGCUAC
rnacentral:sRNA from 1 species